rnacentral:rRNA from 1 species
GAUGAACGCUGGCGGCGUGCCUAAUACAUGCAAGUCGAGCGAACAGACGAGGAGCUUGCUCCUCUGACGUUAGCGGCGGACGGGUGAGUAACACGUGGAUAACCUACCUAUAAGACUGGGAUAACUUCUGGAAACCGGAGCUAAUACCGGAUAAUAUAUUGAACCGCAUGGUUCAAUAGUGAAAGACGGUUUUGCUCUCACUUAUAGAUGGAUCCGCGCCGCAUUAGCUAGUUGGUAAGGUAACGGCUUACCAAGGCAACGAUGCGUAGCCGACCUGAGAGGGUGAUCGGCCACACUGGAACUGAGACACGGUCCAGACUCCUACGGGAGGCAGCAGUAGGGAAUCUUCCGCAAUGGGCGAAAGCCUGACGGAGCAACGCCGCGUGAGUGAUGAAGGUCUUCGGAUCGUAAAACUCUGUUAUUAGGGAAGAACAAAUGUGUAAGUAACUAUGCACGUCUUGACGGUACCUAAUCAGAAAGCCACGGCUAACUACGUG